ensembl:lncRNA
UUUUUUUUUUUUUUUUUCUUUAGCUAUCUGAAUGAGUUUCAUCUUUCCUGUUUGUGUCAACCAGAAUGAUGGGGACCUGCUCCCCAGUGAACAUCUACAGAUAAAUAAGUGCAUUCAUUCCACGUAUGGGUUUUCACAGCAUUCAUGUUUGGCUACUCUUCUCCCCUGAUUAUUGCAUAAAUGCUUCCAUUGUUAACCAGAAAGGAAAAUGCUUCUGGGAAGAAAUUGGAAAGGUGACAUCAAUUUAACAAAGCCAUUUGGGGUUAGCACAAAAUGACAGGACAGCAGGAAGCAUUUAAAAAGCUUCCCCUGACAAGAAAAGCUAAAUGACUCAGAGAGCUGCUCCCAAUCAGACAUGCUAUUGACAAGAGACCCGUUCUGAUAAUGACCUAUGAAAGACUGCAUUCUGACCGCACACGAUAAUUUGUUUUUCUAACCAGGGUGACUUAGCAGGGGUUUGGGUAAACCGCAUGGCUCCUGUGCAAAUGACAGUCACAUGGCAAAGCCCAACACCUGGCUCAUUUUAUUUAUUUAGGCUGUAAGAAGCCACUUGUCAUGUGUCUGGUGACAUUAAGCUGUUUCUUCCCACCCAACUCCAUCACUGUGACAACAUGGCCCCCUCGGACUCGUCCACCACCCUGGUCCCUCCUUACCCUCCCACCUGUUGUGAAGUGGUCUUUUAGCUUGAGAUGUGAAUGCCAUUCUGCAAGAUAAAUGUUCUUUCACCUUCAAUCUUUGCUGAGGAAUGUGGGGAUGAAGAUGGGGCAGGAAGUGGAACAGGCUGCCCAAGUCCAAAGGCUAUAACGGGAGGUCAGUGAGCAGCACCGGUGAGGCCCCUGAGGCAGGAAGGGUAGAAAGGAGGGGUGAGGCUAUCCAAGAGGACCUCUAGCUCCCCAUGUGAGGCUGGCUUUACCCAGCCUGAGAGAACAGCAAAGUGGACAGGAAAGAAACUGACACCAUCUUCUGGACUCCGGGUAUUUCUCAAGCUGCUGUGAGCAAGACCAGGCACUUUCUGGUGAGCAACAAAGUCCACACAUCUUUUCAGCUGCUGCAAGACCUGAGGGCAGUGCUCCGUGGAAGGAGUCAGGAGGGGCCUGGUUUCUCACCUCUUCUCUUUAUCCUGAAUGACUGGUGGAUCUGGCCUGCACUCCAGGCCCUAGUUGGAGGCCCAGCAGCUGAAAAACCCCCAAGGAAAAGAUCUACAAAGAUCAUUCACGGGACUCCAGCCAAGGCUUGGCAAAUCCACAAAGGCUCCUUAUAGAGUUUGGGAAGUAGGCCACCAAGGUCUAACAGAGACACCUCCCUACCCCUGGCAGCUUGUCACUGUGUGACAUCCCCCCACUUCACCCAAAAGAAGCUGACUCCUUUCCUUCAUCCCUCUUCCAACAGCUUUGCAUCUCAGAGGAAAUGGUCUGGCUCUUGCUCUCUCUCUCUCUCUCUCCUCUCUCUCUGUGCUCACUCCCUUUUCCACCCCCAGUCCUUUCAUGAUUUAUUUUGCCUGCGGCUAUUGCUUGGAUAUGGUUUGCUCCCACCAACACUCAUGUUGAAGUUUAAUUGCCAGUGCAGCAGCAUUAGAAGGUGAGGCUUAAUGGGUAAUUUUGUGGUCACAGGGACAGAUCCUUCACCAAUAGAUUAAUGCCAUCUUGUGAGAAUGAGUGAGUCCCUGCUCUCUCGGGAAUGGAUUAAUUACUGCAAGAGCAGGUUGUUGUAAAGCAAGUUUCUUCCUCAUGUGUGGUCCCUCUUUGCACACACCUGCUAGUCUUUCUGCUUCUCUGCCAUGUCUUGAUGCAGCAUAUGGUUCUCUUCAGAAACUGAGCAGAUGCCAGUGCCAUGCUCUUGGACUUUCCAGAAUCAUGAGCUAAAUAAACCUAUUUUCUUUAUAAGUCACCCACCCUACCAUACUCUGUUAUAGCAACACAAAAUAAACUUAAGACACCUGUGCUAUCCUGUUUAUAGUUAGGCCACAUCCAUGCUCCUUUCUGGACUUUUCUUGAGUCAGAGGCCAAUGUGACUUGCAUAUGUGGAAGAUGUGGUUUUACUGAUCUAAUAACUGCUUAACUGACAUGGUGGGUGUUUCUUUGCAACUACAGGAAAAAGUUCAGUCCACUUACUACCUAGACUCUGUCUCCGUAAAUGAGGCAUUAAAGAAUGACAAGAAAACCCACCAUAUCAGAAAUAGAUGUAACUACCUCUGCUUGGUUAUGCUUUCUUGGGGUGUUUGUCUUUAUGGGAAGAUGGGUUUCUCCUGAAUGUAGCAGGAGAGGGUAACAAAAAGCGGGUGAGAAGCUUUAACAUUCCGCAGCUGGGAAGAGAAGUAUCCUCAACUGCAGCCCUAGUUUUCUGAUUCGGGUGAGUGAUGGAGCCAGUCUCUGAGAAGCCACCAUGGCAUGUGACUCCCAUUCACAUUGAAUGCUACCACCAACGCAAGCUGUACCUACAGUCAUGGCAUUUUUAUAGGAGGUAAAACCACUCAUUGGUGAACUUGAAAAUAUUUCUACUAUAUCACAAUUGCUCUGUUUUAAUAUAUCUUUAAGGUAAGUGUUAAAUAUAUCUUCACUUAAGAUAGAUAAAAUAAGUGUUCAAAGCCCAAACAAGUUAAAUUCCUUGAGCUGCCCUCUCUCAAUUUCUGGUAAACCUAUGUGGCCAAUAAAAUCUCAAAUUUGGGGAAGGAAUGGAGUGAUUUAGCAACUCUGUAGUUGACUGUUUGGCUGUUCAAUAAGUAAAUAUGAUUCCUCAGUAAGUGCUAUAGCCUGAAUGUCUCUGUGCUUUCAAAACUCGUAUGUUGAAAUGCUAACCUCCAAUGUGAUGGUAUUAUGAGGUGGGGUCUUCAGGUAGCAGGAGGUAGUUAGGUCAGGAGGGUGAAGCCCUCAUGAAUGGAUUAGUACCCUUAGAAAAAAGCCUGAGAGACUCUUUGCCCCUUUCAUCCUGUGAGGAUACAUCAGGAAGAUGCCACCUGUGAACUAAAGAGUGGACUCUCACCAGACACUGAAUCUGCUGGCACUUUGAUCUUGAAAUUCCAAGCCCCAGAACUGUAAGAAAUCAAUUUCUGUUGUUUAUCAACUACCUAGUUGUUUUGUCAUCAUAGUCUGAACUGUCUAGGACAGUAAGGAAUGCAGGAUCUGAGACACUCCAGAAGUUAAAACUUUUGGUUCUGUGGAAGAAGGAUAGUGAGAAAGCAGCCAGGGCUUCCCUCCAGGGCCAUUGGCAGAGGAGGGUGCUUCAGAAAGGAAAGGAACACACACAAGAUCAAUGGCACUGUUGUACCUCCCCCAAGACCACAGAGCAAGGAGCUGACGUGCAAAUGCAUGUGGAAACUGUCAAAGGGAAACAAGACACACUAGUGUAGGAAAGUCACAUAAGAAACCUAUCCUGUUGAGGAGCCCUUGGUGAUAUGGUCAGAAAAUGCAGAGAAGAUUAAGGAACUCCUUGUCAAACACUGCUUAGGAGUUAAGGGUGAUGUGCCCAGACCAGUGGCUCGUGAACUAGCCCUAUCUAGACUUUCCCCAUGUGCUGAGUUUUCCCAGGUUGAACACUGAGAGUUGGGCCCAUGCCAAGGAACCCUGAAGAGAAGAAAUGGGAGAGAAGCUCUAAGUAAAAAGCCGUGUGAGGCUUCUCACUAAUCUGAGCCCCAUCCUUCCUCCCUCUUCCAGCCAAGCCUCCUUCUGCAGUUCUCUCUGACUCCAAGGGUUGGCUGGGCUGUUUUCUCAAAGCACACAGUCUUGCCCCAUAUUCCUGUACCCAGAAGAAGCAUGGACCAUCUAAGGUUUCCUUUGGGGUGUUGCUGUGAACAGUAAUAAAACACAGAGGAGAAAAGAUCCUUCCUCUUCACCUCCACAACCUUUUUUUGCUUUACUAGGGCCAGGUUUCCUGGGUUAAAUUGUGCAGUGAUGCAAGCAGUGCAGUAUAUGAGAAUGGAAGUAAGCUCAUAAGUGACAGGAUAAAAAUGAUAUCUAAUGAGGAGUUUACUAACUCCAAAUGCAAGUUCCAGCUUCAGGAGUCAGAGCUUGGGGGUGAGACACAGUCCAGUGAAAAGCUACAGCUGUGGCUGGAGGGUUGGGGCCUGAGAAGCAACUCUUAUCAGCAGAAUCAACUAGUUACAUGGGAGGAGAACUGCCACAUGGAUAUUUGGACAGUUUAUGCUGAGUAUGAGGGAGAGUUCUCCUCCUCUCCUCUAGAAAACCUUCAGUAAAAUCUUCAGUUCACUAAUGAUUUUUCUGCAAGUAGAUUCUCUGUGGAUAACUUCAAGUGGCGUUAAGUCUAGGGUCCAGGUUGAAAAGGAGCAGAGUGAGUAUCUGUAGGCUUCUCCAAGCCUAGGUUAAAGUUGUGGCUGCUUGACUGUAUAUAUGGCUAAAUAUGCCAUCCCUCUUUGUACCCACAGCCCUGUCUGUGUGACUUGCAGCCCUUUUCAGUAAAGAAGUCUAAUUCUCUACCCCAUG